rnacentral:lncRNA from 1 species
GGGAUUAAUAAUUUUACUUCUUCUUAAGGGUCCUCAUAUUUUGUGGUUGCAAAUGGAUGUGUCCUGCCCAACAGUGAAAAUGCUCAUGGCCAAUCUCUGGAAGAAGAUUCCGCAUGGGAAGCUUUGCUGAAUUUUUUCUUUCCAACAACGAGCCGGCCGAUGAUUUACAAAGGCAGGACAACACAGUUGUAACGGGUUUGAAGAAACGAAGGAAGCGAAAGAGGAAGUCUGAAAUGUUACAGAAAGAAGCAAGAGGACGUGAGGAACAUGGUGAAGAGUAGCAAGAGAUCAAAGCAUUAUUUUCCCCUCAAGACAACAGAAACCAUUCAGAGCAGAGGGGACUGUCUCAGCCAUGCAAACCUCAUGGAGCAUUUUGGAAAGCUAAAAAUUGGUUCUUAUUUUUGUCAUGUUUACUUUCAAACAUGAAAUAAAAUUGAGUUCUGUUUUCAUGCAUCAAACCAGAAUCUGAAUUCUUUUUAUUAAAAACAGUUCCUACAGAAUCUUUAAAAACAUGCCUAAAACACCGGUGGCAUUCAGAUCCUAAAAAGUUACAUGAUUUUUGCAACUUGGGUUAUUGUAUCAACGUAUACUUCGGUUGGU